UACGUAGGGGGCAAGCGUUGUCCGGAUUUAUUGGGCGUAAAGAGCGUGUAGGCGGCCAGGUAGGUCUGCUGUGAAAACUCGAGGCUUAACCUCGAGAUGUCGGCGGAAACCAUCUGGCUAGAGUCCGGAAGAGGAGAAUGGAAUUCCCGGUGUAGCGGUGAAAUGCGCAGAUAUCAAGAGGAACACCUGAGGUGAAGACGGGGUUGCUGGGCUGACACUGACGCUGAGGCGCGAAAGCCAGGGGAGCAAACGGG
rnacentral:rRNA from 1 species